GUGCUUGCUUCAGUUGCACAUUUUUAAAAUUGGAACGAUAUAGAGAAGAUUUGUCAUGGUCUUGUGCAAGGAUAACAUGCAAAUUCAUGAAGUGUUUCCUAUUUUA
ensembl:snRNA U6 U6 spliceosomal RNA